rnacentral:rRNA from 1 species
GGGGGACCUUCGGGCCUCUUGCCAUCGGAUGUGCCCAGAUGGGAUUAGCUUGUUGGUGGGGUAACGGCUCACCUAGGCGACCAUCCCUAGCUGGUCUGAGAGGAUGACCAGCCACACUGGAACUGAGACACGGUCCAGACUCCUACGGGAGGCAGCAGUGGGGAAUAUUGCACAAUGGGCGCAAGCCUGAUGCAGCCCUGCCGCGUGUAUGAAGAAGGCCUUCGGGUUGUAAAGUACUUUCAGCGGGGAGGAAGGGAGUAAAGUUAAUACCUUUGCUCAUUGACGUUACCCGCAGAAGAAGCACCGGCUAACUCCGUGCCAGCAGCCGCGGUAAUACGGAGGGUGCAAGCGUUAAUCGGAAUUACUGGGCGUAAAGCGCACGCAGGCGGUUUGUUAAGUCAGAUGUGAAACCCCCCGGGCUAA